AGCGAACGUUGGCGGCGUGCUUAACACAUGCAAGUCGAGCGAGAAAGCUCUCUUCGGAGGGUGAGUAAAGCGGCGCACGGGUGAGUAACACGUGAGUAACAUGCCUUCAGGUUGGGGAUAACUACCCGAAAGGGUGGCUAAUACCCGAUAAGACUACAGUGGCUUCGGUCGCAGUGGUCAAAGUUCAGGCGCCUGAAGAUUGGCUCGCGGUUCAUUAGGUAGUUGGCGGGGUAAUGGCCCACCAAGCCAAAGAUGAAUAGCUGGUCUGAGAGGAUGAUCAGCCACACUGGGACUGAGACACGGCCCAGACUCCUACGGGAGGCAGCAGUGGGGAAUCUUGCGCAAUGGACGAAAGUCUGACGCAGCAACGCCGCGUGUGUGAUGAAGGCUCUCGGGUCGUAAAGCACUGUCAGGAGGGAAGAACGCAGACGGUACCUCCAAAGGAAGCGCCGGCUAACUCCGUGCCAGCAGCCGAC
rnacentral:rRNA from 1 species